rnacentral:rRNA from 1 species
AGCGAACGCUGGCGGCAGGCUUAACACAUGCAAGUCGAGCGCCCCGCAAGGGGAGCGGCAGACGGGUGAGUAACACGUGGGAACGUGCCUUUUGGUUCGGAACAACCCAGGGAAACUUGGGCUAAUGCCGGAUAAGCCCUUACGGGGAAAGAUUUAUCGCCAAAAGAUCGGCCCGCGUCGGAUUAGCUAGUUGGUGGGGUACUGGCCCACCAAGGCUACGAUCAGUAGCUGGUCUGAGAGGAUGAUCAGCCACAUUGGGACUGAGACACGGCCCAAACUCCUACGGGAGGCAGCAGUGGGGAAUAUUGGACAAUGGGGGCAACCCUGAUCCAGCCAUGCCGCGUGAGUGAUGAAGGCCUUAGGGUUGUAAAGCUCUUUUAGCAGGGAAGAUAAUGACGGUACCUGCAGAAAAAGCCCCGGCUAACUUCGUGCCAGCCGCCGCAGUAAGAC